GUGUGCUAGGCGGGGAGAUAGCGGUGCCCUGUAACCCGCGAUCCGCUACAGCGGGGCUGAAUUCCUGCAUUAGAACGCUGAUUUUUCUGUUAAAUGGCGGUAAGCGGUGUUGAGAAUCUGGCCCGACGCAAUUGUUCUCUGUGAACCUUGUCAGAUCCGGAAGGAAGCAGCAAUAAGCAGAAGAGGCAAUGUGCCGCCGGUCAACCAGAUUUGAGCUGGCUGCUGAUGUUUGUCAGGAAUAGGUGUCGAGUGCGGGUGCACAC
rnacentral:SRP_RNA from 1 species